CCAUUUCUCCGUUCAAAAAAAAAGAAAGUAAAUGGGGCGGCACAAACGAUGGGCUCUCGCCAGUGAUUGGGUUCGUUCACGCUUCUGCUUCUCUUCAUCGGCGGCGGCUUUCCCGUUAAAGCAGGUGACGAGGUUGAACUUCGAGAACGCUGAAUGAUGUCCCUGAGGAAUUUACAUGUUUGAAUAAUCCCAGGAAUCUCUUAUUUGUCCAGACGACAAGAGGAAGAUGCAACUAAGUGUUAUGAGAUGAGAUAUCCGACGACGAUGAGGAGGAGGGCGUGGCUGAAACAGAGCAUUUCAAGUUGGCGGAUCUUCUUUUUGCUGAAAUGAUGAAGUCAAAGCUGAAUGAGUGGCGGUCUGAGCUCUUCCAUGGUCUGAAUGCAUCUUCUGAGUCUUCCAAUGGGUCGACACCGAGUACGAAACUGUGUUCUAUCCCAUGCGUCCAGCUCUCUCAGUCUCAAGGCUUUCACUUCUCAUCAGCUCAGAGUUAUUAAAUUGGUUUUGGGAAAGCAUUUUAGAGAUCUUGUAUACAUUACAUACAAAUGAUGAAAGUUCAUUUCCGCAAAGACUUUAGGCCUGUUCGUUUCCUGAUCGCCACUUCUAGCGGCAGCGUCCAAAAAAGUCAAUCUUUUAUCACGGUAAUAUACACCACCGGUGAGAAAUCGCUGACCUAUUUUCAGUCGCAGCGGCAACAAACACCAAGGAGAGUAGACGCUGAAAUUAUGUGCGGCAACAAGCGUCUCGUCUUUUGGUCUCCGGCAAUUCAGUAGCGUCUACCGCAACUUCCGACUCUGCUAUUUAGGUGUCCGUCGUAGUACAAUUAUUUGCUGCCGCCGCUACACUUUGCGGUUACGAAACGAACAGGCCUUUUGUUGUUUACACUCAUUCACAAUCCCACAAGGACAAUCUCUUGCAGGAGGCAAAGGAUGAACACAAGAGAGUAGCGGAAAGAAAAAUACAAUCUCCAAUAGGGUUCCGUCAACUGAUUGAUCUGCUUUCUUCAGAGAAGAAGUUGAUUGUUGCUCACAAUUCCAUCCUGGAUGUUGCACAUGUAUACAGCAAAUUUGUGGGUCCUCUUCCCUUCAACAGCUGAAAAAUUCGUGGCCUCCCUUAACGACCACUUUCCUUACACUGUUGACUCCAAAAAUACUCUUAAAACUUGAAUCCAAUGCUGCAUCAGAGGAUGAACAAGUCCAGUACAUCACUAUCCUCUGCCUUCUCCUCCUUAUGUCCACGAGUCGACUGUCCUUCGCGAAGCUCUGACUCGUUUCUGAGAUCAGAGAAUGCAUCUGUCUACCACUUGGAUGACACUGCAGUUUUCGUUUUGUUCAAGAACUCGGAACUAAUUGCAGACUUCCUAAAGCUCAAGCAGCAGCUGGAGUCAGACAAUUGUCCUGUUAAGAUAAGAUCAUUCACCCCUCUCUCCAAGAUCCUUUAAGGAGGGAAAACCGGAGCUGCAGACUAUAAAGCCUACAAAGAGAUUUGCAGAUCUCAAAGGUCCUCUUCUCUGACCAAGCUGAAACGGUUUGUGUCAAACCAAGAACAAGACCUGAUACUGAGACUGAGAGAAGAGAUAACUUGGUCGCUGUGACUGACAAAGCAUCGGAUUUGAUCGAUGCGUUUUUGGCAAAUAGAGUUUAAAGACAAACCACACUAGGAUAAUUAGUCACACUCCCUUUCUUGUCAAGACAGUCUUUUUCUAUUUCUUUUUUUGGAAAAAAGAAAAAUUGCCAACAUGAAACGCAUAUAGUGUAAUGUUUGUGUUAUGAUCAAGUAUAAUUUAAAAAGGUAAAUAUGAAAUAAUGAACAGCGCAAUAGUGUGCGGAUAAAAUCAAAUACUAGUAUUGUCAACAAUGGAUCGGAUGGAGAUAUCAAUCUCAAUCAAAUUUUCUUCUUCUUCAAGUUCUUCCCAAAUCUCCAUGAGCGUCAUCUCUUGGUAAUACUCUUCUUUACU